GACGAACGCUGGCGGCGUGCUUAACACAUGCAAGUCGAGCGAUGAACCUUUCAUGAAUUUUUCGGAAUGAUUGGAAGAGGAUUAGCGGCGGACGGGUGAGUAACGCGUGAGCAACCUGCCUUAAACAACGGGAUAGCCUCGGGAAACCGGGAUUAAUACCGUAUGAGACCCCGCCUUCACAUGAAGAAGAGGUUAAAGAUUUAUCGGUUUAAGAUGGGCUCGCGUCUGAUUAGCUAGUUGGUGAGAUAAAAGCCCACCAAGGCAACGAUCAGUAACCGGCUUGAGAGAGUGAACGGGCACAUUGGAACUGAGACACGGUCCAAACUCCUACGGGAGGCAGCAGUGGGGAAUAUUGCACAAUGGGGGAAACCCUGAUGCAGCGACGCCGCGUGAGCGAUGAAGGAAUUCGUUUCGUAAAGCUCUGUCCAGGGGGAAGAUAAUGACAGUACCCUUGGAGGAAGCCCCGGCUAAAUACGUGCCAGCCGCCGCAGUAAAAC
rnacentral:rRNA from 1 species